rnacentral:tRNA from 1 species
GUCCCCGUAGCUCAACUGGACAGAGCGUCGGCCUCCGGAGCCGAAGGUUGCAGGUUCGAGUCCUGCCGGGGAUA